rnacentral:rRNA from 1 species
UGGUUGGAAAUCAUUCAUAGAGUGUAAAGGCAUAAGGGAGCUUGACUGCGAGACCUACAAGUCGAGCAGGGUCGAAAGACGGACUUAGUGAUCCGGUGGUUCCGCAUGGAAGGGCCAUCGCUCAACGGAUAAAAGCUACCCCGGGGAUAACAGGCUUAUCUCCCCCAAGAGUUCACAUCGACGGGGAGGUUUGGCACCUCGAUGUCGGCUCAUCGCAUCCUGGGGCUGUAGUCGGUCCCAAGGGUUGGGCUGUUCGCCCAUUAAAGCGGUACGCGAGCUGGGUUCAGAACGUCGUGAGACAGUUCGGUCCCUAUCCGUCGUGGGCGUAGGAAAUUUGAGAGGAGCUGUCCUUAGUACGAGAGGACCGGGAUGGACAUACCUCUGGUGUACCAGUUGUCGUGCCAACGGCAUAGCUGGGUAGCUAUGUGUGGACGGGAUAAGUGCUGAAAGCAUCUAAGCAUGAAGCCCCCCUCAAGAUGAGAUUUCCCAACUUCGGUUAUAAGAUCCCUCAAAGAUGAUGAGGUUAAUAGGUUCGAGGUGGAAGCAUGGUGACAUGUGGAGCUGACGAAUACUAAUCGAUCGAAGACUUAAUCAA